rnacentral:rRNA from 1 species
GUGGGGAAUAUUGGACAAUGGGCGCAAGCCUGAUCCAGCAAUGCCGCGUGGAUGAAGAAGGUUUUCGGAUUGUAAAGUCCUUUCGGCGGGGACGAUGAUGACGGUACCCGCAGAAGAAGCCCCGGCUAACUUCGUGCCAGCAGCCGCGGUAAUACGAAGGGGGCUAGCGUUGCUCGGAAUGACUGGGCGUAAAGGGCGCGUAGGCGGAUUGAUCAGUCAGACGUGAAAUUCCUGGGCUCAACCUGGGGGCUGCGUUUGAGACGGUUGAUCUAGAGUUUGGAAGAGGGUCGUGGAAUUCCCAGUGUAGAGGUGAAAUUCGUAGAUAUUGGGAAGAACACCGGUGGCGAAGGCGGCGACCUGGUCCUUGACUGACGCUGAGGCGCGAAAGCGUGGGGAGCAAACAGG